rnacentral:rRNA from 1 species
GAUGAACGCUGGCGGCGUGCCUAAUACAUGCAAGUCGAGCGAACAGACGCGGAGCUUGCUCCUCUGAUGUUAGAGGCGGACGGGUGAGUAACACGUGGAUAACCUACCUAUAAGACUGGGAUAACUUAGGGAAACCGGAGCUAAUACCGGAUUAUAUCUUGAACCGCAUGGUUCAAAAGUGAAAGACGGUGUUGCUGUCACUUCUAGAUGGCUCCGCGCUGCAUUGGCUGGUUGGUAAGGUAACGGCUUACCAAGGCCACGGUGCGUAGCCGACCUGGGAGGGUGGACCGGCCCCCUGGGACUGAGCAGCCGCCCUGAGCCCUAGGGGAGGCCGCAAUUGCGAAGUCUGCCAGAAGGGCGGAAGCCUGCACGAAGCACGCCAGCGUGAUGCAGAAAGGCCUCGGGUGGGAAAACUGCGUUCAGGGUGUAAAACGAUUUUGGCAGGAACGAUGCCCUUCUUGACGGUACCUGAAGAAGAAGCCCCGGCUAACUACGUG